AUUUGCUCACUAUUCAUCCCUUCCCUUGUAUUGCUCCGUCGAUCUGCUUGCCUUCUGUUCUGUUUUUGAAGAAUGGCUGAGCAAAUUCCUUAUGGUGUUGCUACAAGCCUCAUUAACAUGUUGGCUUCUGCAGCUUUUCGUAAAUUUGGACGGAUUUAUGGUGUUACAGAUCAGUUGGAAAGGCUUAAGAAUACAGUUGAAUCCAUCAGAGCUGUUCUCCUUGAUUCUGAGGACAAACAAGAGCAAAGUCAUGCGGUGCAAAUUUGGAUAAGAAGACUUAAAGAUCAUGUCCUAUAUCCUAUCUUCCUGUCUUGAGGACAACUUCAGGAAAUUGAAAUCUGGUUUAAGGACAACUUCAACUAUCUUCCUGUCUUGCAAAAUAUUAAAUUUUGGAAUUGUUCAGAUCUUAAGACAUUGCCAGAUUGGAUUUGCAACCUCUCGUUACUACACGUUAUCAUACUUAUGGACUGUGUAUGUUUGGCUUCACUUCCCGAAGACCCUACAAAUCGUUGGUUGUCCGCUCUUGGUUAAAUAAUGUGAGACACAAACGAGUGCAACAUGGUCCAAAAUUGCUCACAUCCCAUACAUACUCUUAAAUAGAUAUUAAAGCUGAUGCCAUCUACAAGAUGCCAAUGUUUAUGGAAAUGUAAGUGCGAUGAAAGAGUUUUAUUGGAUCCCACAUUUCAGUAUUACAAUUUCUGUUUAUAUUUUGAGAUGAACUCUAUUUCUUGAGUUAUGUGUCAAUUUGUAUCAUAAUAACACUACAGUUAAAUAAUAAUGUCUGUUUUCUUGGUAAAAUAUGGAAUAAAUAUUCUUUUGUUACUGUAUUGUAUGACAGAAUUGCAGUUAGAUUUGUCAUGAUAGAAAGAAUGAAUGGUGCUUGGAUUUUUGAAAUGCAUGUUAUAGAUGAUUGAUUAAUAAGGGUGAAAAUGAGACAAGUCAAACUCGUCUCAACUCGAUUCGAGACUAAUUGAUUUAGUUUCAAAUCUGACUCGACUUCAAUAUGAAUAAAGUUUUCAGCUUAAACUCGACUUGUUUUAAGCUUACAAACAAUUCAAUUCAUCUCAUUAGUUUUAGUACAGUUUGUUCGAAUUACAUAAUUUAAAAGUCAAUUUUUUUUGUCAAAAGAAGUAUAAAAUUGUUAAGUCUCUGAACUUUUAACUUUAGUCCUUUUUAUAAAAGGGUCAUGUUAAUUGGUGAAUCAGGUGCACUAGUUAAAGAAGUUAAAAAAAGAAAAUUUUGCAUUGGAAUAAGCAUUAUUCAUACUUUUAAAAUUACAACCCUUGACUAUAUUUUAUAGAAUAUAAAAUCACAUUUAGCACAUCAAAAUAAUAUUUUAUUGUAAGAAAUUUCUAUACAGCUCAUUGUAUUGGACAUGCUCUUGUUAUAU